rnacentral:rRNA from 1 species
GAUGAACGCUGGCGGCGUGCCUAAUACAUGCAAGUCGAGCGAACGGACGAGAAGCUUGCUUCUCUGAUGUUAGCGGCGGACGGGUGAGUAACACGUGGAUAACCUACCUAUAAGACUGGGAUAACUUCGGGAAACCGGCGCUAAUACCGGAUAAAAUUUUGAACCGCAUGGUUCAAAAGUGAAAGACGGUCUUGCUGUCACUUAUAGAUGGAUCCGCGCUGCAUUAGCUAGUUGGUAAGGUAACGGCUUACCAAGGCAACGAUGCAUAGCCGACCUGAGAGGGUGAUCGGCCACACUGGAACUGAGACACGGUCCAGACUCCUACGGGAGGCAGCAGUAGGGAAUCUUCCGCAAAGGGCGAAAGCCUGACGGAGCAACGCCGCGUGAGUGAUGAAGGUCUUCGGAUCGUAAAACUCUGUUAUUAGGGAAGAACAUAUGUGUAAGUAACUGUGCACAUCUUGACGGUACCUAAUCAGAAAGCCACGGCUAACUACGUG